rnacentral:tRNA from 1 species
GGGGUUGUGGCUCAGUGGUAAGGUGUUUGCCUAGCAUGCUGAGGGACUGAGUUUGAGCCUCAGCACCACA